rnacentral:rRNA from 1 species
CCCGCUCAGAAACUCAAAUGAAUUGACGGGGGAGCACCACAACAGGUGGAGCCUGCGGUUUAAUCGGACUCAACGCCGGGAAACUCACCAGAUAAGACAGCUGAAUGAUAGUCGGGCUGAAGACUCUACUUGACUAGCUGAGAGGAGGUGCAUGGCCGUCGUCAGUUCGUACUGUGAAGCAUCCUGUUAAGUCAGGCAACGAGCGAGACCCACGCCAACAGUUGCCAGCUCGUCCUCCGGGAUGGUGGGGACACUGUUGGGACCGCCUCUGCUAAAGAGGAGGAAGGAAUGGGCAACGGUAGGUCAGCAUGCCCCGAAUUAUCUGGGCUACACGCGGGCUACAAUGGGUGGGACAAUGGGUAUCGACACCGAAAGGUGAAGGCAAUCUCCUAAACCCAUCCGUAGUUCGGAUUGUGGGCUGCAACUCGCCCACAUGAAGCUGGAAUCUGUAGUAAUCGUGUCUCAAAAUGGCACGGUGAAUAUGUCCCUGCUCCUU